GACGAACGCUGGCGGCGUGCCUAAUACAUGCAAGUAGAACGCUGAAGGAAGGAGCUUGCUCUUUCCGGAUGAGUUGCGAACGGGUGAGUAACGCGUAGGUAACCUGCCUGGUAGCGGGGGAUAACUAUUGGAAACGAUAGCUAAUACCGCAUAACAGUAGAUAUCGCAUGAUAGCUGCUUGAAAGGUGCAAAUGCACCACUACCAGAUGGACCUGCGUUGUAUUAGCUAGUUGGUGUGGUAACGGCUCACCAAGGCAACGAUACAUAGCCGACCUGAGAUGAGGAUCGGCGACACUGGAACUGAGACACGGCCCAGACGCCUACGGGAGGCAGCAGUAGGGAAUCUUCGGCAAUGGACGGAAGUCUGACCGAGCAACGCCACGUGAGUGAAGAGGGUUUUCGGAUCGUAAAGCUCUGUUGUAAGAGAAGAACGAGUGUGAGAGUGGAAAGUUCACACUGUGACGGUAUCUUACCAGAAAGGGACGGCUAACUACGUGCCAGCCGCCGCAGUAA
rnacentral:rRNA from 1 species